GAGAAGUUGGCUCAGUGGUAGAGCGCUUGCCUAGCAUGCAUGAGACCCUGGGUUCCAUUCCUCA
rnacentral:tRNA from 1 species